AUGGGGCCAGCAGCCCCAUUCCCAAGACAAGACCUUGGCCAGUGCAAAAGCUGUCCAUCAAAAGACAAAAUACGUCCCCUAGGAAUGGAACACUGCAAGACCAUCUCUGGCAUCACUGAAAAAAAAGGAAAUACUAUUCUUCAAACAAUGACAGAAGAGAUGGAAAACUGUGAACUACAACAUGGAUGAAAUGCUUGCCUCUAAGUAUGACAAACAAAAUCCCUACCAGUCUCCCUGCAGAUAACACGUGUCAGUCUUGGACACAGCAUGAAGAGAAACUGCCUGCAGCUACUGGUGGGUGAGUGUGAGCAUAAAAACUCUAGUGGGUGCCUGUAUUUUCCAAGAGGAUUUAAAAAUAUGAAGCUAUAGGGGCUUUUGCUUUUAGUGUAGGGUGACCCGUAGAUGAUGUAGGAUGAGCAAGGAUGGUGCAGCAUAUAUGGACAACAGCCACGGUCUUCCUAGCCAGGAAGAGUGAGCUUGAGAAAUUUAAAAAACAAAUUGACAAAAUUGGGACACUUGAUCAGAGAAAGAGGCAAAGAAGGGUAUCUCUCAAAUCUAUCUAUCCUCAUCUCUGACUCCUGAAAUAUGCAUGUGUAGGGUAAACUGAAAACAGCAUAGCCUGAGAUAACCGAUCUGAACUAAGAGCCAAGCAACUUCUUAAGGAAUAAAGGUUGAAACUCAGCCUCA
rnacentral:lncRNA from 1 species